rnacentral:tRNA from 1 species
GGGCUCUUAGCUUAGUUGGUAUAAAGCGCCUGGUUUACACCCAGGAGAUUCGCAGGUUCGAGUCCUGCAGGGCCCACCA